rnacentral:rRNA from 1 species
AAUAGAUACCCAGGUAGUCCACGCCGUAAACGUUGGGCACUAGGUGUGGGGUCUAUUCAACGGACUCCGUGCCGUAGCUAACGCAUUAAGUGCCCCGCCUGGGGAGUACGGCCGCAAGGCUAAAACUCAAAGGAAUUGACGGGGGCCCGCACAAGCAGCGGAGCAUGUUGCUUAAUUCGAGGCAACGCGAAGAACCUUACCUGGGUUUGACAUGUAGAGAAAAGCCAUAGAGAUAUGGUGUCCUCGGGUUCUACACAGGUGGUGCAUGGUUGUCGUCAGCUCGUGUCGUGAGAUGUUGGGUUAAGUCCCGCAACGAGCGCAACCCUUGUCCUAUGUUGCCAGCACGUCAUGGUGGGGACUCGUAGGAGACUGCCGGGGUCAACUCGGAGGAAGGUGGGGACGACGUCAAAUCAUCAUGCCCCUUAUAUCCAGGGCUGCAAACAUGCUACAAUGGCCGGUACAGAGGGCUGCGAAACCGCGAGGUGGAGCGAAUCCCAUAAAGCCGGUCUCAGUUCGGAUUGGAGU